rnacentral:misc_RNA from 1 species
UGAUUGGUGAGCUCUCUCCACAAAUCAACAAUCUCAGGCAUGUCGAUAAUAGUGUUUCUGUUGCUGAAUUUGAAGCAUCAAGUGUGGAUAAUCUCUCUGAGGAAAUGCAUGACUAGGCCUUCCUCUUAUGGCAAGAUGUUUUUGCACUAUUAUUUGUCCCUGGUGUUUCACUUGCCCAGCAGAUGCUAGCCUGAACAAUGUUAAUUGGAGGACUUUUCAUAAUG